UACGGAGGGAGCUAGCGUUGUUCGGAAUUACUGGGCGUAAAGCGCACGUAGGCGGCUUUGUAAGUUAGAGGUGAAAGCCCGGAGCUCAACUCCGGAACUGCCUUUAAGACUGCAUCGCUUGAAUCCAGGAGAGGUGAGUGGAAUUCCGAGUGUAGAGGUGAAAAUUCGUAGAUAUUCGGAAGAACACCAGUGGCGAAGGCGGCUCACUGCCCGGUACUGACGCUGAGGUGCGAAAGCGUGGGGAGCAAACAGG
rnacentral:rRNA from 1 species